rnacentral:lncRNA from 1 species
AUAUAUGAAAGAUUGGAUUUAAGUACUAAUUAAUUUUAGACUAGAUUUGAAUUAAUUAGACUUAAAUAGAUUCAAAAUCCAAGUUAGACUUGGUACAAAAGUCUUAAAGAGUUUAGGAUUGACAACCUUUCGAAAUUAUUUCGAACCGACUUCGAAGUGGACUCGAAUCGGAUCUGUUUUAGAUAAGAUAUGAGUAUUCCUACUUGCAUUGGAAAUUUCUACUCAUGAAGCAUGAUUAAAAAUUGGUUUGGUGCUUAUUUGGGGCGUCGCA